rnacentral:lncRNA from 1 species
CUGCAGGUCAUUAAUAUUCGUUGGGUGUCCAGCCUGGCGUUUGUGGUUCAAACAGCUUUUGUGUUUCGUGCUCCACCUCCCGCAGAGUCACAGACAGCAGUCUGCCCCUUUCCCCACCCAGUCUCAGUUCAGGCGGAGGGUCGAAACGCCACGCACGAGUCCUCAUGCCGGCGGGCGCAGAGCGGGGCGCCAAGGGCUGCCCGCGGGGUGCACCUCUAGUCCACCAAGUCCUCUUUGCGGCGGGGAUCGGGGCGCGCCGGGGGAGCCGCCCUUCGCCCCCGAGGUCUGGGCGCGCAGGAGGGCAGCGCGGGGAGCUCGCGGACAGGUCCUCUGGCAGCAGAGAGGGAGCGGUGCAGAGGACCGGGGACUGAGGAAGGAGGAGUGCGGGACCGCUCCCCGAAGGUGCCUCCUGCCGAGGCCACCGAGGCCGUCCUGGAGAUGGCGUCGGCUCCUGAGUCUGCGGCGCCAAAGUGCUCCCAGGUGGCGCGGAGCGAAGGGGGUUUAAAUUUCUCCCUCCUCGCAAACGUCCCCUUGCUUCGGGCCGGAGAGUAUUGCGCCCAGACACCUCUCGAGGAAGGGAGAUUGGACUUUCCCAGAUUGGAGGGAAAUUUAGAGCUGGCAUUUACAGUUAUUGUAAAAGAAAAAAAAGUGUUUUGAGGAGAAGAGGUGAAGGGUAGGAGAGGAGAAGUGUUAAAAUUUCGACCAAACCACGAGAAACCUCACUUGUUUUAAGUUCGUGACAGUUUAUUGGCUUUCCCUAAAUGUCCUCAGAUUAGCCUGACAGCUCCUUACCUAAAAAUAUCGAGUAAAAGCCCCCAAACCAGAAGCAGUUAAACGGUGUCACUGAAUUCAAUCUCAGAGCGAUUAUGGAGUUAAUUCACAUAAUAAGCAAAUCACAGAGUUGACAGAUUAUUAUAUGAACACGGACAAAUUGUUACAUAAAAUAUUUUGAUACUGAUUGUUUUAUUAGUAAUGUUAAGCCCCUUUAUGUCUGUUUCUUUUUCCCGGGAUUGACAUGUUAUACAAUGCUCACUGCUAAAUAAAUAAACCAAAAUGGUGUGAACUAAUUGUCUCCCUCAUUUAACUGUACCUUUUUAUUAACAUUAUUAACAUGAUUAUUCAUAAUUCCAUUGGCUAUUUACACUGGCAAAAUUUUUCUGUUGUAUUUGUUAUCCACAGAGAAAAAUAUGUUAACAUGAAGUGGACUUGAAUAACAUCCAGGUUUGAAAACUGACACUAUCGAUGUUUAAAAAUAUGUUAAGAGUUGUUCUAUCCCUAGACUAUUAGAAAAUUUAAACUGCACGUGCCCCAGCUAAUUAAAAACAAUUUAAAUUAUUAUUAAGAGAAAA